GACGAACGCUGGCGGCGUGCUUAACACACGCAAGUCGAACGGUAAGGCCCUUCGGGGUACACGAGUGGCGAACGGGUGAGUAACACGUGGGUGAUCUGCCCUGCACUUCGGGAUAAGCCUGGGAAACUGGGUCUAAUACCGGAUAGGACUCCUGGCUUCAUGGUUGGGGGUGGAAAGCUUUUGCGGUGUGGGAUGGGCCCGCGGCCUAUCAGCUUGUUGGUGGGGUAAUGGCCUACCAAGGCGACGACGGGUAGCCGGCCUGAGAGGGUGACCGUGCACACGGGGACGGAGAUACGGCCCAGACUCCUACGGGAGGCAGCAGUGGGGAAUAUUGCACAAUGGGCGCAAGCCUGAUGCAGCGACGCCGCGUGAGGGAUGACGGCCUUCGGGUUGUAAACCUCUUUCAGCUAUGACGAAGCGCAAGUGACGGUAGUAGCAGAAGAAGGACCGGCCAACUACGUGCCAGCCGCCGCCGUAA
rnacentral:rRNA from 1 species